rnacentral:rRNA from 1 species
AUUGAACGCUGGCGGCAGGCCUAACACAUGCAAGUCGAGCGAGCGGCGGACGGGUGAGUAAUGUCUGGGAAACUGCCUGAUGGAGGGGGAUAACUACUGGAAACGGUAGCUAAUACCACAUACCAUCAGAUGUGCCCAGAUGGGAGUAGCUGGUAGGUGGGGUAACGGCUCACCUAGGCGACGAUCCCAGGCUGGUCUGAGAGGAUGACCGGCAACACGGGAACUGAGACACGUUCCAGACUCCUACGUGAGGCAUCAGUGGGGAAUAUUGCACAAUGGGCGCAAGCCUGAUGCACCCAUGCCGGGUGUGUGAAGAAGGCCGUCGGGUUGUAAAGCACUUUCAGCGGGGAGUCGUUACCCGCAGAAGAAGCACCGGCUAACUCCGUGCCAGCAGCCGCGGUAUUC